AGCUAUCAUUUACCCUAAGACAUUCGGGGGUAAACCCGAAGCCGAUACCCGUGGGGAGCCCGUUAGCUGCUUCACUGCACGGCGAGGGACCCACGUGAUCGGUGGCUGGUAUCCUCUAACUGAGGGGUGUAUGGUGCAGUGUGGGCCGGCGUUCAGCGUCGCGAAUCCCCACUUCUGCCCCGGACCGCUCCUUGGGGAACUCAGUGGGGGCAAUUGGAUGGCCCGCGGGGACCUUUCGGCGGCUUCGGCUCCGGGGGUCGCCCGGGCUGGGCGUUGGGCUCCGGCCCUUCCCCCGACCUUGUAAAUAUCCUGAUCAUCCCUUCGGGGGUGGGGUGUGACUAGGCGUGAACGCUCCUUGAGGGCGUGCGACCGAACUCUUAAGAUAGU
rnacentral:misc_RNA from 1 species